CAAACUGUUCUUUGAUGAUCGCCCCGCACCCUUCAAUCUUUUCAAUGGAUACCACACAUUAUGAAAAGAUUGAAGGGUGCGGGGAGGAACGUCCGGGCUCCAAGACCCGCCAGCUAUGGGCGGGUAAAGAACGUCAUGCGGGUAACGCCCGUCGCCGUGUUGCAUAUCAAAAGAACACGGUAGGACCAGUGUCACAGUGACGAUGCUCGUAUCAUUAUCAUCUGUAAAGAUGUCCAGAUAUGAGAGUGAAACGCCCUGGGAACCAGGGCCAUGCCUCACAUGUGAGGCAUGGAGAUAAACUCAUGAUGGAGCAAGGAGGACUUGGGUCAUUGGAAAAAAGAGAUGGUUCCGUCUCUCCUUUGUCCCCUCCGCACUGCGCCCAGCAGUGACGCGUUCGCGUCUGCUACUGGGCCGAGGUCAGCGAGUAAUCCUGAUCCCAGAGAGAUGAUCAUCGCUUCUUGAAAUUCACACUUCAAUGAAGAACAGAACCCGGCGUACGAGAACAGCCUGUGAA
rnacentral:RNase_P_RNA from 3 species